rnacentral:rRNA from 1 species
UACGAAGGGGGCUAGCGUUGUUCGGAUUCACUGGGCGUAAAGGGUGCGUAGGUGGUUGCGCAAGUCUGAUGUGAAAUCUCCGGGCUCAACCCGGAAAUGGCAUUGGAAACUGCGUGGCUAGAGGGUUGGAGGGGGGACUGGAAUACUUGGUGUAGCAGUGAAAUGCGUAGAUAUCAAGUGGAACACCAGUGGCGAAGGCGAGUCCCUGGACAACACCUGACACUGAGGCACGAAAGCUAGGGGAGCAAACAGG